ensembl:misc_RNA 7SK 7SK RNA
AGAUGUGAGGGUGAUCUGGCUGUGACAGCUGUCACCCCAGUGAUGGCCAAGGACUCCUGGCUGAUCUGGAUGGCUGGGCCGAGUCUCCUUCCUCCCUUACUGCUCCAUGUGUAUCCCCCUGAAGCUGCACGCUCGAUGGGAGAGGUCCACCUUCCCCGACAGAGCACUGUUCUUCAGACGCGUGUAUGAAUAACCGUGCUCCCUGCUAGAACCUCUGAACAUGCUCUCGAGAGCACCUGGGCUAGCAGGUGGUGUGGACAAUAAGACAACUGGAUCUCACCUAGCUGACUGCGUGGUACAAGUCCUGGAUCAGGU